GACGAACGCUGGCGGUGUGCUUAACACAUGCAAGUCGAACGGUAAGGCCCUUUCGGGGGUCCACGAGUGGCGAACGGGUGCGUAACACGUGAGUAACCUGCCCUCAUCUCUGGGAUAACAGUCGGAAACGGUUGCUAAUACUGGAUAUGAGCCUGCAAGGCAUCUUGUGGGUUGGAAAGAUUUUUUGGUUGGGGAUGGACUCGCGGCCUAUCAGCUUGUUGGUGAGGUAGUGGCUCACCAAGGCUUCGACGGGUAGCCGGCCUGAGAGGGCGACCGGCCACAUUGGGACUGAGAUACGGCCCAAACUCCUACGGGAGGCAGCAGUGGGGAAUAUUGCACAAUGGACGGAAGGCUGAUGCAGCAACGCCGCGUGCGGGAUGACGGCCUUCGGGUUGUAAACCGCUUUCAAUUGUGACGAAGCUUUUUGUGACGGUAGCAGUAGAAGAAGCACCGGCUAACUACGUG
rnacentral:rRNA from 1 species